ACGCUGGCGGCGUGCCUAAUACAUGCAAGUAGAACGCUGAAGGAGGAGCUUGCUUCUCCGGAUGAGUUGCGAACGGGUGAGUAACGCGUAGGUAACCUGCCUGGUAGCGGGGGAUAACUAUUGGAAACGAUAGCUAAUACCGCAUAAGAGUAGAUGUUGCAUGACAUUUGCUUAAAAGGUGCAAUUGCAUCACUACCAGAUGGACCUGCGUUGUAUUAGCUAGUUGGUGGGGUAACGGCUCACCAAGGCGACGAUACAUAGCCGACCUGAGAGGGUGAUCGGCCACACUGGGACUGAGACACGGCCCAGACUCCUACGGGAGGCAGCAGUAGGGAAUCUUCGGCAAUGGACGGAAGUCUGACCGAGCAACGCCGCGUGAGUGAAGAAGGUUUUCGGAUCGUAAAGCUCUGUUGUAAGAGAAGAACGAGUGUGAGAGUGGAAAGUUCACACUGUGACGGUAUCUUACCAGAAAGGGACGGCUAACUACGUGCCAGCAGCCGCGGUAAUACGUAGGUCCCGAGCGUUGUCCGGAUUUAUUGGGCGUAAAGCGAGCGCAGGCGGUUAGAUAAGUCUGAAGUUAAAGGCUAUGGCUUAACCAUAGUACGCUUUGGAAACUGUUUAACUCGAGUGCAAGAGGGGAGAGUGGAAUUCCAUGUGUAGCGGUGAAAUGCGUAGAUAUAUGGAGGAACACCGGUGGCGAAAGCGGCUCUCUGGCUUGUAACUGACGCUGAGGCUCGAAAGCGUGGGGAGCAACAGGAUUAGAUACCCUGGUAGUCCACGCCGUAAACGAUGAGUGCUAGGUGUUAGACCCUUUCCGGGGUUUAGUGCCGCAGCUAACGCAUUAAGCACUCCGCCUGGGGAGUACGACCGCAAGGUUGAAACUCAAAGGAAUUGACGGGGGCCCGCACAAGCGG
rnacentral:rRNA from 1 species